rnacentral:rRNA from 1 species
UACGUAGGGUGCAAGCGUUGUCCGGAAUUAUUGGGCGUAAAGAGCUCGUAGGCGGCUUGUCACGUCGGGUGUGAAAGCCCGGGGCUUAACCCCGGGUCUGCAUUCGAUACGGGCUAGCUAGAGUGUGGUAGGGGAGAUCGGAAUUCCUGGUGUAGCGGUGAAAUGCGCAGAUAUCAGGAGGAACACCGGUGGCGAAGGCGGAUCUCUGGGCCAUUACUGACGCUGAGACGCGAAAGCGUGGGGAGCAAACAGG